UGAUGGCAGGACACGGACACACACUCGUACGCGACGAGAAGAAGGCCUCGGUCACGGCGUGUCGUCACCCCACCACCGGCGGUGGGUUUCCCUUUCGGCGGACGUGGGGGCCGGUCUCGCGGAAACACCACUCAACACAUACCUUGAUCCAUCCGCCUUGGCUGGUCACCAGGGUGUAGAGCAGGUGCAGGUCGACCUCCUUGCCGCCGAGGAUGGGCGGCCUCCUGAACGGCGUCCUGGAACAGAGCGUGAGAGCGGCUCCCGGAGCGGCCCUGCAACUUACCCGCGCGUCUCGUGGAAGUGGUGCAGGUCCCGGAGGAAGCCGUCGCGCUCCUUGGGGUACGUGGCCGCAUUCUUGUCGGGGAUUUUGGCCAUAGUGGCGCGUUUAGAGCGACGCACGUGUCAUUUUCGCGACGGCCCCGACGCCGAUUUCUGCACCUCCCGGGGUAGCUGCUGGCCAGGCAGUUGACGACUCCCUGCGCUAGCACGACGUUGCACUCACUCUGACCGUAUUAAUGCGCAGAACCAUCGCACCCGCGGCCGCACAACGCUCCACCGUCGACAACGUUCAAAGAUGCACCGAAUAUAAACAACUCUCAACGUUCUGCAUUACCGAAAAAUGAUUUUUUCGCCACUAUAUCGCCUCCAAAUUAUGCACCGUGCUAACCCAUGAUGCUUGACAAGACUAUUACCAACAUGGCGGCCGGUUCCCCGUUAUUGUAAGGCGCGAAGGAAGGUUUUGCCCGCGACGUACGACACCGGAACAGCCCCCUGCAAAGCUGCCCCAAGACGUCGACCCUCGCCCGCAACACGGACGACCUUUUACUCGACCCGCCGCCACUCAAACACCGACACUUUAUUAUAAAAAAUCACAAAGUUUUGACAACACAAAAUAUUAGUUCAAAUGCCAAUUUUCCGACGCAGCGCCAUCUACAAUCGCUAACACUCGCCCGGUAAAGCGACGAUCUACACCCCAAUGCGCCCUCUAUCUCAACCAAAACAACGUCAAUUUCACAAAAAUAUCAAUUUUACCCCGAAAUGAAGAAAACAACAAGUUUCACGGCUCACAAAAAAUAAACAACAUCGCAGAAACGUCCACCUUCAUGCCACAACCCAUGCCCCAAAUUACCAUUUAAAACACCCAUAAUUUAAUCACGACAACUCAAAAUUCGACAAAAUGCCCAAAUUUCGACGAACCUCGAGGGGGUUAAAACGAUUAAUGCCCACAAAAACUCACAAAGAAGUGGACCCAAGGCAACUCAAUUUUGUCCAAAGAGACAAGGAAAAUAAUCACAAAUCUGCCUCAGAGACUGCUGUUAAUGACCCCUUACUCUCGUUUAUGAAAAUUGAAGUCAAAGAAGAGGAGCUGGAUUCUAACCAGGAAUUAGAUUUUGGGCAGGACAUUAACAUACCUCUAAAAAUUGAGCAAUUUGAGACUCUGGAAAUAGACAGUAUUAAACAAGAAGAGUCUGUUGAGCCUGAAAGUGAUGCGUUUGUAGGAACAAAUAAUAACGACUUAAAUAUGUUAAUAGAAUGGGCGCUAAACUUGCAAUUUGACCAUUCUAAAAAAUGCACUGGACGUCUCUACCCUUGUAAAACCAUCUUUGAUCAGUUAAGUUGUAAGAUAAUUGUAUUGUAUUGCACAGUUUGUAAAAAACGAAUGUUACACACACUCAAAGAUUGGGCAAUGUUAUAAUAUUAACAAAUAAAGUUAUGUGAUUA